GCUGGCGGCGUGCCUAAUACAUGCAAGUCGAGCGAACAGAUAAGGAGCUUGCUCCUUUGACGUUAGCGGCGGACGGGUGAGUAACACGUGGGUAACCUACCUAUAAGACUGGAAUAACUCCGGGAAACCGGGGCUAAUGCUGGAUAAUAUUUAGAACCGCAUGGUUCUAAAGUGAAAGAUGGUUUUGCUAUCACUUAUAGAUGGACCCGCGCCGUAUUAGCUAGUUGGUGGGGUAAUNGCUUACCAAGGCAACGAUACGUAGCCGACCUGAGAGGNNNAUNGGCCACACUGGAACUGAGACACGGUCCAGACUCCUACGGGAGGCAGCAGUAGGGAAUCUUCCGCAAUGGGCGAAAGCCUGACGGAGCAACGCCGCGUGAGUGAUGAAGGUCUUCGGAUCGUAAAACUCUGUUAUUAGGGAAGAACAAAUGUGUAAGUAACUG
rnacentral:rRNA from 1 species